rnacentral:rRNA from 1 species
GACGUAGGGCGCGAGCGUUGUCCGGAUUUAUUGGGCGUAAAGAGCGUGUAGGCGGCCUGAAAGGUCAGCUGUGAAAACUCGAGGCUCAACCUCGAGACGUCGGAUGAAACCAUCUGGCUAGAGUCCGGAAGAGGAGUGUGGAAUUCCCGGUGUAGCGGUGAAAUGCGCAGAUAUCGGGAAGAACACCCGUGGCGAAGGCGGCACUCUGGGACGGUACUGACGCUGAGACGCGAAAGCGUGGGGAGCGAACAGG